GGGGCUGUAGCUCAGCUGGGAGAGCACCUGCAUGGCAUGCAGGGGGUCAGGGGUUCGAUCCCCCUCAGCUCCACCA
rnacentral:tRNA from 1 species